rnacentral:tRNA from 1 species
GCAUUGGUGGUUUAGCGGUAGAAUUCUCACCUUCCAUGUGGGAGACCCGGGUUUCAUUUCCAACCAGUACA